CAGUAGCCACGGGAAUACGGAGGGUGCAAGCGUUAAUCGGAAUUACUGGGCGUAAAGCGCACGCAGGCGGUCUGACAAGUCAGAUGUGAAAUCCCCGGGCUUAACCUGGGAACUGCAUUUGAAACUGUCAGGCUGGAGUCUUGUAGAGGGGGGUGGAAUUCCAGGUGUAGCGGUGAAAUGCGUAGAGAUCUGGAGGAAUACCGGUGGCGAAGGCGGCCCCCUGGACAAAGACUGACGCUCAGGUGCGAAAGCGUGGGGAGCAAACAGGAUUAGAGACCCCAGUAGUCCCUGUCUCUUAUAC
rnacentral:rRNA from 1 species